rnacentral:rRNA from 1 species
UGGGGAAUUUUGGACAAUGGGCGAAAGCCUGAUCCAGCAAUGCCGCGUGUGUGAAGAAGGCCUUCGGGUUGUAAAGCACUUUUGUCCGGAAAGAAAUCCUUGGCUCUAAUACAGUCGGGGGAUGACGGUACCGGAAGAAUAAGCACCGGCUAACUACGUGCCAGCAGCCGCGGUAAUACGUAGGGUGCAAGCGUUAAUCGGAAUUACUGGGCGUAAAGCGUGCGCAGGCGGUUUGCUAAGACCGAUGUGAAAUCCCCGGGCUCAACCUGGGAACUGCAUUGGUGACUGGCAGGCUAGAGUAUGGCAGAGGGGGGUAGAAUUCCACGUGUAGCAGUGAAAUGCGUAGAGAUGUGGAGGAAUACCGAUGGCGAAGGCAGCCCCCUGGGCCAAUACUGACGCUCAUGCACGAAAGCGUGGGGAGCAAACAGGAUUAGAUACCCUGGUAGUCCACGCCCUAAAACGAUGUCAACUAGUUGUUGGGGAUUCAUUUCCUUAGUGACGUAGCUAACGCGUGAAGUUGACCGCCUGGGGAGUACGGUCGCAAGAUUAAAAACUCAAAUGAAUUGAC